rnacentral:tRNA from 1 species
UUAAGGGAGACCUACCCACUGAAGAUUGAAAGCGAGAGCGAGUAGAUUAACAGUUGGUCACCCAAAGGUCGAUGGGGAAUUAAGUGUGAGGCUUCCAAGCUAUUGGUUCGGUUGAUGGGCUAUUAGCUCAGGUGGUUAGAGCGCACCCCUGAUAAGGGUGAGGUCCCUGGUUCGAGUCCAGGAUGGCCCACCUUAGAUUUUGGAUUGGGGAUUUUGGAUUUAAUAGAGGAUCCAGAGUUGAGAAUCGAGAAUCGGCAUGGGGGUUUAGCUCAGUUGGUAGAGCGCCUGCUUUGCAAGCAGGAUGUCAGCGGUUCGAGUCCGCUAACCUCCACUGGGUGGCAGCCCGAGAGAGAGGAAAAAGACAGCACCUUAUCUAGCGAGGAUAGAGGGAGUGCUGGAUUUAAGCCAGCGAAGAACCUAGAAAACUGCAUAGCGAAGAAUGUCAGGUAGAAAUACAGACACCAAUGUGGAUUGAAUUGCGAAGAAGUGGUCAAGCUACAAAGGGCUGAUGGAGGAUA